UACGUAGGGGGCGAGCGUUGUCCGGAGUUACUGGGCGUAAAGCGCACGCAGGCGGUCUGCUAAGUUUGGAGUGACAGUUGGUGGCUUAACUGCCAAAGUGCUUCGAAAACUGACAGACUUGAGGGCUUCAGAGGGACACGGAAUUCCGGGUGGAGUGGUGAAAUGCGUAGAGAUCCGGAGGAACACCAAAGGCGAAGGCACUCUACUGGGCCAUUACUGACACUGAGAGACGAAAGCUAGGGGAGCAAAUGGG
rnacentral:rRNA from 1 species